GUCGCCGCCGGGCACGACGGUCACUUGGAAGCGGGAGUGAAGAAGCUCAGUGAGACAUGGUUGCUGCUGGAAACACAGGAAUGAUACUCUACAAAAUAUACAGGGCGCUCACCUACGGUUUAACACCGUUAGUGCACCUUCACCUACUUUGGCGCCGUCGCCGAGGCCUCGAGCACCCGACACGUUGGCCUGAGAGGUUGGGCCGGUCCUCACUCCCUCGCCCGUCCGGUCCACUCAUCUGGUUUCACGCUGUCUCCUUAGGUGAAGGAAUGGCGGCGAUUCCUGUGAUUAAACGCUGCGUUCAUUGCAGGCCUGAUUUGAGCAUCUUGAUGACAACUACGACCUUCUCUGCAUUUGAAGUUAUAACGAAUCAGCUUCCAAGUGGUGUUUUAUAUCAGUUUUCGCCAGUUGAUACCCCUACUGCUGUGGACGCUUUCCUUGACCAUUGGAAGCCAAAUGCAAUCAUUUUAUUGGAGAGCGAACUGUGGCCAAAUCUUAUCAUGGGUUCAUCAAGAAAGCGUAUUUCACUGGCAUUGUUAAAUGCUCGAUUGUCUAUGAAAUCCUUUAGGUUGUGGUCACAACCAGUGCUUCUUCCGCUGAUUUCACUAAUGCUUUCUCAAUUUUCCCUGAUAGUCCCACUGAGUACUAUGCAGGCAAUUCGCUUCCAGGUUCUGCAGGCCCCGCCUUUUAUCAUUAACUUUUCUGGCGAUUUGAAAUAUGCUGUAGAAUUUGAUGCUUCUAGUGGAGAGAUAGGAAGCAUAGAAUAUCUGAAAGGACAGCUUGCCUCAAGACAUGUUUGGAUGGCUUCUUCCAUACAUAGGGGUGAAGAAAAAGUUAUGCUGGGAGUUCACAGAGCACUCAUACAAAUGUACCCAGAUCUAGUCACUAUAAUUGUACCUCGUUAUCCGCAAGAUGCACUAGAGAUUGCUCAGGAAUUGCAGAAAGAAGGGCUAAAUGUAGCUUUGAGGUCUCAACAUCGAAGGAUUAUGCCAGGAACACAAAUUUACAUGGUGGAUACAUUAGGUGAACUGAGAUGUUUGUACAGUUUAUCUGCAGUAGCUGUAAUUGGAGGUUCCUUUUUCCCUGGUUUAGCUGGCCAUAAUAUAUCAGAAGCUGCAGCAGCUGGCUGUGCAGUUUUAACUGGUCAUCAUGUUGGCCAUUUCUCACACAUGGUAAAGGAAAUGCAACGCUUAAAUCCCUUAUCAAUCACUCAGGUAUCUGGUACCUUAGAGCUUGAAGAAGCUAUUAAGGAGCUCCUUAAUGAUGCCAAACUACUAGACGCACGGCGAAUGGCUGCAAAACAAGCAUUUCAUGCUCUUUCCAGUGGCAUUAUUGCUAAUGUCUGGAACCUGCUAAAUUUUCAUGUUCUGGAAAUAUCUUCAUGAGAAAGUUAAUGAAGACUGGCAUACAGCAAAUCAAUUGUGAAAAUGAGAAUCCACAAGGCAGCAAUGCUUUUUCACCGAUGUCCAUUGGACAGUGCUAAUCUCCCACAUUCACUGUGCUGCAGAACUGCCAUCUCUGGAGCUUUAACCCUUGAGGAAGUAGCAUUGAAUCGUUCGAUGAGUGAGAGAACUUAGCUCACAUCUGCAAACAGAUUAUAUCUUUGAACAGAAACUGGGCACACGGUAUAAGCCAUAGGACCAUUUUGUUAUGAUUAUAAUCUAUAUGCUUGGUCUAGCAGCUGCCUGAAAAUUUGGGGGUUCAAGUAAUCUGCUCUAAUAACAAAAAUUUUAGCAGCUUCGCUACCAUGAUCACUCAGCGGCCAGAAGGAACAUCUGAGGACAGUUUCUUCUUUACUUCCUCCAGCUAACUUUCUAUCACACAGAGAUUCCCUUCAGCUUCACGGUGUUGCAGAUUAGACUGAGCCAUGAAGUAUCAAUGGGUCCUCUCAAAGAUUUGAGCAUUUUGCACACAUAGACAAUCGCUUAGGAGCUGAGAUAUUCUCUCGUUAUGUUUUCUUCAGAUAAAGAUUUUGCAGAUCACAGUCACUCACCCACAUUGUAUCACAACUUUCAUCUCUUUUAGCAAAUUUUAUUAGGAUGGAGGUGGUGAAGAUGAUUGAGGAAAUUAGGAUGGAGCAAUCGCCUCUAGGAGAGGACUAUGAUGAAUCUCGCAACACCCUGUCACCUUCUCUGGCCACCACCGAAGAUGUCACCUCGCUCGCAUAUACGCGUUUCUUUGUAAGAUUUUGUAAACUUGCAUCUCCCAUUGCAGGUGUGAAGAUGUGAUUAUUUCUUAUACCAGCCAUAAGAUAGAUCCCUUCUAGUCUUUCCUUUGUGUAUUAUAUAGUAUGGCAUUUGAAUCAGUUAUUCAGCUUAUUCAGAGAAAAAGUUGAUUGCAUUAUCAGCAACUUUAUUUUCA